rnacentral:rRNA from 1 species
AUACAGGGGGUGCGAGCGUUAAUCGGAAUUACUGGGCGUAAAGAGUACGUAGGCGGUUGCUUAAGUCAGAUGUGGAAGCCCCGGGCUCAACCUGGGAACUGCAUUUGAAACUGAGUGACUAGAGUUUAAGAGAGGGGAGUAGAAUUCCGGGUGUAGCGGUGAAAUGCGUAGAGAUCCGGAGGAAUACCAGUGGCGAAGGCGGCUCCCUGGCUUAAAACUGACGCUGAGGUACGAAAGCGUGGGUAGCAAACAGGAUUAGAUACCCUAGUAGUCC